rnacentral:rRNA from 1 species
CAGCCGCCGCGGGAAUACGAAGGGUGCAAGCGUUACUCGGAAUUACUGGGCGUAAAGCGUGCGUAGGUGGUGGUUUAAGUCCGUUGUGAAAGCCCUGGGCUCAACCUGGGAAUUGCAGUGGAUACUGGGUCACUAGAGUGUGGUAGAGGAUAGUGGAAUUUCCGGUGUAGCAGUGAAAUGCGUAGAGAUCGGAAGGAACAUCUGUGGCGAAGGCGACUAUCUGGGCCAACACUGACACUGAGGCACGAAAGCGUGGGGAGCAAAUAGGAUUAGAUACCCGCGUAGUCCCUGUCUCUUAUAC